CAUUUACUCAGCCGAGCAAAUGCCGGCUGAGUAAACAAGGGGGCUGUUAAAUAUUCAACUGGGGGAGUGACCGAAUCGCAUUUGUGGGGCCGGCUAAAUGCGGGGAGGAACAAAGGAAUGAUGACGUUUCGUUUCAAAGAUGGCCGCGGAAGGCCAGAUAGUGCGGAACGAAAGUCCUCAUUCACUGGGUGAGGCUGCACUUCCGGUUUGGCUAGAAAACAUGGAUUCAUUCAUGGAACGAUACUGAGAGUCAUGCGUGAGACUGCUCCCUGCAUUUCUGACCAUUACUGCCCGCUCCCACUGAAUUUAUGACCGUUACUACCUGCUUCCGCAACAUGAAUGUCUAAUCCCUCCUGGUCCCGCAACAUGGGUGUUUAUUUGUGAUGAUCACUUCCUCCAAUCACCCUGUCGUACAUGACAACCCUGGAAUGGAGCAUCAUCACAGCCUAGGCUGCUGCAGCUGAAGGUGUAGGUAGGAUUUCUCCUUCUUACUGGACCACUUCUCAAUAUACAGGAGCGGGGCAGCAGAGGAUAUGUGAUUGCGGAGGACUAUGUCUGAUUCGGUGGAUUGCAACGAUGACCAGCGUUUUGUUAAUUGCAAUAAAAGGGUUAAAAAAGGCUGUCAGGG